GAAUGCAACCUCCCACCCGUGUUUAUUUUACCUUGUUGCUUCGGCGGGCCCGCCUUAACUGGCCGCCGGGGGGCUUACGCCCCCGGGCCCGCGCCCGCCGAAGACACCCUCGAACUCUGUCUGAAGAUUGUAGUCUGAGUGAAAAUAUAAAUUAUUUAAAACUUUCAACAACGGAUCUCUUGGUUCCGGCAUCGAUGAAGAACGCAGCGAAAUGCGAUACGUAAUGUGAAUUGCAAAUUCAGUGAAUCAUCGAGUCUUUGAACGCACAUUGCGCCCCCUGGUAUUCCGGGGGGCAUGCCUGUCCGAGCGUCAUUUCUGCCCUCAAGCACGGCUUGUGUGUUGGGCCCCGUCCUCCGAUCCCGGGGGACGGGCCCGAAAGGCAGCGGCGGCACCGCGUCCGGUCCUCGAGCGUAUGGGGCUUUGUCACCCGCUCUGUAGGCCCGGCCGGCGCUUGCCGAUCAACCCAAAUUUUUAUCCAGGUUGACCUCGGAUCAGGUAGGGAUACCCGCUGAACUUAAGCAUAUCAAAA
rnacentral:rRNA from 1 species